rnacentral:rRNA from 1 species
GACGAACGCUGGCGGCGUGCUUAACACAUGCAAGUCGAACGGGUCUGCCCUGUUUUUUGCGGGGUGGGUCAGUGGCGACCGGGUGAGUAACACGUGAGUAACCUGCCCCUCACUUCUGGAUAACCGCUUGAAAGGGUGGCUAAUACGGGGUGUUCUGGCUGUGCCGCAUGGUGUGGCUGGGAAAGAUUCACUUUUGUGGUGUUUUGGUGGGGGAUGGGCUCGCGGCCUAUCAGCUUGUUGGUGGGGUGAUGGCCUGCCAAGGCUUUGACGGGUAGCCGGCCUGAGAGGGUGGGCGGUCACACUGGGACUGAGAUACGGCCCAGACUCCUGCGGGAGGCAGCAGUGAGGGGUAUUGCACAAUGGGCGGAAGCCUGAUGCAGCGACGUCGCGUGAGGGAUGGAGGCCUUCGGGUUGUGAACCUCUUUCGCCGGUGAAGAAGGUCCUGCUCUUUGUGGUGGGGUUGACGGUAGCCGGGUUAUGAAGCGCCGGCUAACUACGUG